AAAAUAUUGAGUUUUACUACCGAUCUUCAGUUAUCAAACGAAUUGCUUUAAAACAGCACAAAAUCAUUACAAUUCUUAUAAUGAAUCCUGUAAAUAUUGUUACUUGUGUGUUUGCGUUUUUAAUGUCAAUAAUUGUAUUGGCUUUAGCUUUGCCUUUGGACCGUAGAACUCUACUGGCUGAUGGUAAAUAAAUGUGUCAAAUAUAAAAAUAUGUAGAUGACCAAUAUGUAAUAAACAAGUUAUUUUCAAAAUAAAGAUGAUUUUAUUUAAUUA